CAGGUAGGUUCCAUAUAGGGUGUAAACACCUGCUAAGAACGGAUUUUACGAAACUCGACCCCUAAGGGAGUAAAACGGGGGUUGGAAGUUUGUAUGAAAGUCCUAUGCUUUGAAGUAAGAGACUUGAAAUUUAAAAUGUAUGCUCUAUAGAUGGUGAAAAUGUGUCCAAAUAUUGUAUAUUUAGAAAUCAACUCCCUUUUGGGGUUAAAACGGGGGUUCGUAGGUUGACUCACU
rnacentral:misc_RNA from 1 species